CAAGGCAACGAUGCAUAGCCGACCUGAGAGGGUGAUCGGCCACACUGGAACUGAGACACGGUCCAGACUCCUACGGGAGGCAGCAGUAGGGAAUCUUCCGCAAUGGGCGAAAGCCUGACGGAGCAACGCCGCGUGAGUGAUGAAGGUCUUCGGAUCGUAAAACUCUGUUAUUAGGGAAGAACAUAUGUGUAAGUAACUGUGCACAUCUUGACGGUACCUAAUCAGAAAGCCACGGCUAACUACGUGCCAGCAGCCGCGGUAAUACGUAGGUGGCAAGCGUUAUCCGGAAUUAUUGGGCGUAAAGCGCGCGUAGGCGGUUUUUUAAGUCUGAUGUGAAAGCCCACGGCUCAACCGUGGAGGGUCAUUGGAAACUGGAAAACUUGAGUGCAGAAGAGGAAAGUGGAAUUCCAUGUGUAGCGGUGAAAUGCGCAGAGAUAUGGAGGAACACCAGUGGCGAAGGCGACUUUCUGGUCUGUAACUGACGCUGAUGUGCGAAAGCGUGGGGAUCAAACAGGAUUAGAUACCCUGGUAGUCCACGCCGUAAACGAUGAGUGCUAAGUGUUAGG
rnacentral:rRNA from 1 species